CACCUCCUGCCGCUGGGCGGCGCCCUCGGGGCCCUGCACCGCGGCCUUGAAGGUCUCAUUCCGCUUCUCGAUUUGGUCAAUGGCUGCCUGGCAGGCCUGGGAGGGGGCAGGGAGUCGUUAAAGGAAAAGGGGACAGAGGGGCUUAU